rnacentral:misc_RNA from 1 species
GCAAACUUGGUCAUUUAGAGGAAGUAAAAGUCGUAACAAGGUUUCCGUAGGUGAACCUGCGGAAGGAUCAUUACUGUAGGCUUAUGAAGUCUGCGAGAUAGCAUCCUUGCCUUUUUAAAGUACCUUAUGUUUCCUUGGUAGGCUCGCCUGCCAUAAGGACUCUUUAUAAACCUUUUGUAGUAAGCAUGACACGUCUGAUAUAAGUUUAAUUACUUACAACUUUCAACAACGGAUCUCUUGGUUCUGGCAUCGAUGAAGAACGCAGC